GUUCUUGUAGAGAUGGUGGGCAUGAACUGUCAGUGGAUGUGCUCAUUUCUGUCCGUAGGAUCUCAAAGGUAGUGCUGGAUAAUGACUUGCCUUUUCCAAGGGCUUUCACACUGGGUGUCUCUGAGGUUGUACGUCUAAAGAUAACCAUCAGAGGAAAUACCUAGAGGAAAGGGGACUUCAAUACCUGCUGAGGAUUUUUCCUAUUUCUUCCCAGCGUGUACCACAGACAUAGACUGACGCUCACUUUUGUGGCCAUACAGGCCGCAGCCCACCUGCUCAUCCUACUUUGGUUUGUUUCUCCUUUGGACUGGGAAAAUAAUUUUGUGGAACAUAAGUUUUGUUCCUGUAUCCGAUCUUUCAUUUUGGGUCAGGAAAUAAAAUGGCAGCCAUCAAAAUCACAAAGUAAAUAUUCAAUGAUGUUGAAUGGAAGUUGUUCCUGUUCACCUUCAGGAGGGCUUAAGUGAGAAGAAAUGAUGAUCUGCAUAACUGACACGGAGCGAUGCCUUUCAAUGAAGAUGAGCUCAAGACAUGGUGUUAGACUUGACUCGGUGCCUUUCUGCUCCAGGUGAAAUUCAGAAAGAAACGAGGAGAUCCGUGAUCAGCAGAAUGAAUGAUAUUUGGUGUCCUUGGGCUCUCCGCUCCCUUCCAAAGACCAGGAAGGCUCACUCUGGGGGCAGCUAUUGCAGGAUUUUCUUUCCUUUGACAGCUGGAAUCACGUUUUGUUUAACUGGACUGAUAAACACAGCUCUCAUCUCGCGGCCCUGUUAUGAUGCACUGCCUUUGGAAAGUGUUCCUCUUCUCCCAUCACUUUCCCUUCAGCUGCUGCCUAAGGACACUUCUGACCCAGAUCAGCCCAAGGGGUUGGCCACAUUCCAGACCUCUGGGCGUGCAGCCACUAGAUGGCACAUUGCAAAAGCCUAUAUCCUGAGCAGCACCUUGAUGUUUUUGGUCAGUGUGAUCAAAGGCUAA
rnacentral:lncRNA from 1 species